GACGAACGCUGGCGGCGUGCUUAACACAUGCAAGUCGAACGGAAAGGCCCUGCUUUUGUGGGGUGCUCGAGUGGCGAACGGGUGAGUAAAACGUGAGUAACAUGCCCUUGACUUUGGGAUAACUUCAGGAAACUGGGGCUAAUACAGGAUAGGAGCUACUGCUGCAUGGUGGGGGUUGGAAAGUUUCGGCGGUUGGGGAUGGUCUCGAGGCUUAUCAGCUUGUUGGUGGGGUAGUGGCUUACCAAGGCUUUGACGGGUAGCCGGCCUGAGAGGGUGACCGGCCUCAUGGGGCCUGAGAGACGGCCCAGACGCCAACGGUAGGCAGCAGUCGGGAAUAUUACACAAUGGGCGCAAGCCUGAUGCAGCAACGCCGCGAGCGUGAUGACGUCCUUCGAGUUGUAAACCGCUUUCGCCUGUGACGAAGCGUGAGUGACGGUAAUGGAUAAAGAAGCACCGGCUAACUACGUG
rnacentral:rRNA from 1 species